rnacentral:rRNA from 1 species
UACGUAGGUGGCAAGCGUUGUCCGGAUUUAUUGGGUUUAAAGGGUGCGUAGGCGGUUGAUUAAGUCAGUUGUGAAAUACGGCAGCUUAACUGUCGAGGUGCAAUUGAUACUGGUUGACUUGAGUACAGACGAGGUAGGCGGAAUUGACGGUGUAGCGGUGAAAUGCUUAGAUAUCGGGAGGAACACCUGUGGCGAAGGCGGCCCCCUGGUCGGAUACUGACGCUGAGACGCGAAAGCGUGGGGAGCAAACAGG